rnacentral:rRNA from 1 species
AACAGGAUUAGAUACCCUGGUAGUCCACGCCGUAAACGAUGUCUACUAGCCGUUGGGGUCCUUGAGACUUUAGUGGCGCAGUUAACGCGAUAAGUAGACCGCCUGGGGAGUACGGCCGCAAGGUUAAAACUCAAAUGAAUUGACGGGGGCCCGCACAAGCGGUGGAGCAUGUGGUUUAAUUCGAUGCAACGCGAAGAACCUUACCUGGUCUUGACAUAGUAAGAACUUUCCAGAGAUGGGUUGGUGCCUUCGGGAACUUACAUACAGGUGCUGCAUGGCUGUCGUCAGCUCGUGUCGUGAGGUGUUGGGUUAAGUCCCGCAACGAGCGCAACCCUUUUCCUUAUUUGCCAGCGGGUUAAGCCGGGAACUUUAAGGAUACUGCCAGUGACAAACUGGAGGAAGGCGGGGACGACGUCAAGUCAUCAUGGCCCUUACGACCAGGGCUACACACGUGCUACAAUGGUCGGUACAAAGGGUUGCUACCUAGCGAUAGGAUGCUAAUCUCAAAAAGCCGAUCGUAGUCCGGAUUGGAGUCUGCAACUCGACUCCAUGAAGUCGGAAUCGCUAGUAAUCGCGGAUCAGAAUGCCGCGGUGAAUACGUUCCCGGGCCUUGUACACACCGCCCGUCACACCAUGGGAGUUUGUUGCACCAGAAGUAGGUAGUCUAACCGCAAGGAGGACGCUUACCACGGUGUGGCCGAUGACUGGGGUGAAGUCGUAACAAGGUAACC